AAUGAUGAUACCUCAUAAUAUUUUGAAGGGAUGUAAGGAAAUAAAAUCAUGGUUAAUAGGAUUAUACU